rnacentral:tRNA from 1 species
AAGAAAAUAGUUAAUUAUAACAUUUGGGUUGCAUUCAAAAAGUAUUGACUCGUCAAUUUUUCUUA